GAUGAACGCUGGCGGCGUGCCUAAUACAUGCAAGUCGAGCGAAUGGAUUAAGAGCUUGCUCUUAUGAAGUUAGCGGCGGACGGGUGAGUAACACGUGGGUAACCUGCCCAUAAGACUGGGAUAACUCCGGGAAACCGGGGCUAAUACCGGAUAACAUUUUGAACCGCAUGGUUCGAAAUUGAAAGGCGGCUUCGGCUGUCACUUAUGGAUGGACCCGCGUCGCAUUAGCUAGUUGGUGAGGUAACGGCUCACCAAGGCAACGAUGCGUAGCCGAACUGAGAGGGUGAGCGGCCACACUGGGACUGAGACACGGCCCAGACUCCUACGGGAGGCAGCAGUAGGGAAUCUUCCGCAAUGGACGAAAGUCUGACGGAGCAACGCCGCGUGAGUGAUGAAGGCUUUCGGGUCGUAAAACUCUGUUGUUAGGGAAAAACAAGUGCUAGUUGAAUAAGCUGGCACCUUGACGGUACCUAACCAGAAAGCCACGGCUAACUACGUGCCAGCAGCCGCAGUAA
rnacentral:rRNA from 1 species